AGCGAACGCUGGCGGCAGGCUUAACACAUGCAAGUCGAGCGGGCAUAGCAAUAUGUCAGCGGCAGACGGGUGAGUAACGCGUGGGAACGUACCUUUUGGUUCGGAACAACUGAGGGAAACUUCAGCUAAUACCGGAUAAGCCCUUACGGGGAAAGAUUUAUCGCUGAAAGAUCGGCCCGCGUCUGAUUAGCUAGUUGGUGAGGAAAUGGCUCACCAAGGCGACGAUCAGUAGCUGGUCUGAGAGGAUGAUCAGCCACAUUGGGACUGAGACACGGCCCAAACUCCUACGGGAGGCAGCAGUGGGGAAUAUUGGACAAUGGGCGCAAGCCUGAUCCAGCCAUGCCGCGUGAGUGGUGAGGGCCCUAGGGUUGUAAAGCUCUUUUGUGCGGGAAGAUAAUGACGGUACCGCAAGAAUAAGCCCCGGCUAACUUCGUGCCAGCCGCCGCGGUAA
rnacentral:rRNA from 1 species